rnacentral:misc_RNA from 1 species
CCGUAACGCGGCGGUCCGGCAACCGCAAGGAAGUCGGCCGCCACACGCGUUUAUCACCCUUGACUUUGAGCACCUUUCGUCUCCUCGGCGGGUUCGCCCGCCAGCGAGGACCCCCACAAACCCUUUGUAAUAGCAAUAUUUGUCUGAAAAACAACCAAUAAUCA